rnacentral:rRNA from 1 species
GACGUAGGGGGCAAGCGUUGUCCGGAAUUACUGGGCGUAAAGCGCACGUAGGCGGCUCUUUAAGUCGGGGGUGAAAUCCUGGAGCUCAACUCCAGAACUGCCUUCGAUACUGGAGAGCUCGAGUCCGGGAGAGGUGAGUGGAACUGCGAGUGUAGAGGUGAAAUUCGUAGAUAUUCGCAAGAACACCAGUGGCGAAGGCGGCUCACUGGCCCGGUACUGACGCUGAGGUGCGAAAGCGUGGGGAGCAAACAGG